GGGCCUAUAGCUCAGUUGGUUAGAGCGCCGGACUCAUAAUCCGUCGGUCCCUGGUUCGAAUCCAGGUGGGCCCACCA
rnacentral:tRNA from 2 species